GACGGAUCGCGGGACCGAACGACGGACGCCCGGGGCCGGCGUGGGGCUGGUCGGCUGCCCGGGGCGAGGGCGGGAGACUUCCUGCUCAGAACCAGUCCGACCAGCUUGGCGCUGGGACGCCUCCCCGCGCUGUGCCGCGGCCCGGGGUGCCGAGGAGCUGGGCUGGGGGCGGGGACCCCUGCCGGGAACCCGACUUAGCCCGGAGACGCUCAAGAGCAAGAAGCCGAGCGGAAAAGUUAGCGCAGGUUGUGGAAAUCAUAUGAGUUCCCUGCUAGUGACAUUGGAGUGCACAGAUGAAUAUCGACAAGGCUCCAGGGAGUUCUGAACAGAGGCCAAGGCAGGCCCUGGAGCUGUAUGCUGCUUACAGGAAAAGAGAAAGAGGGGACCCCAAUAGUCUAGGUCCCUGGAUCCUCUGACCCGGGGCCUGACACUGUCAGGGAAGCUGCUGUCUCCCUAGGGACCUACUGAAUGUUCUUCCCAUGGCUGGUCAGUGCUGACACCUCAACACAGGAAGAGAAAUACUCCUAUGAAGUCAUCUGAAGCCUGGUCAUGCCAGGGACACUUCACGAAGGCAGGAACAGUCCUGUUUCUAAAAGCCCAAAAUCUAACAGCCUCUCUACAGAUAUAAAAGCCCAAAGACAUGGAAAGUUUGUAUGCAGACAACCCUAGAAGUAAGGAAAAGUGAAUGACAUAUAUGUCAAUGCCCAGAAAGUUCCUUGAGAUCAGACACUGUACAUUUAUGGGAUACUUUCUAAGUGCCAGCUACUGUACUUGGUGCUGGAUCAGUGCAUCCAUUUCCCGGGGCUCCCGUGAUGAAGUGCCACAAACUGGAUGGCUUUAAACAACAGAAGUUUACUCUCUCACAGUUCUGAAGGUUAGAAGUCUGCCAUGAAGAUGUGAGCACAGCCAGCCUCUCUCCAAAGGCUCCAGAGGAGAAUCCUUCCUUGCUUCUUCCCAGAGCUCCUUGGCAUACAGCUGCAUUACUCCAAGAUUUGCCUCUCUUGUCACACAGCAUUCUGCCUGUGUCUCUUGUUUGUGUUCAAGUAUCCCUCCACCCUAAUUUAGUAUGACCUCAUUUUAGCUUGAUUAUGCCUGCAAAUACCCUAUUUCCAAAUGAGGUCACAUUCACAGGUACCAGAAGUUAUGAAUUGAACACAUCUUUUUUGGGAUGUGUUCUACCCAUUAUAAUUCAUUCUACCCACUAUAAUCACAAGUGGCUUUGACAUUCAGUGACACAAAGAUGAUAAGGACUCGGUUCCUGACCUCAGGACAUUCUCAGUCUAUCAGUGAAGACAAACACAUGCUGGUGAACACACACACAUACACAAGCACACAUAUACCCCGAGCCUCAUUCAAGUCAGACUGUGAUUAAAAAUGGAAAUUGUGUCAUCAGGAGGGAUUGGGGAAGUCUUCACACAAGAAAGAACAUCUAAGUUGGGCCUUGAAGGACUUGAGGUUGGCCCGCAGAUCCAUGGACACCUUGUGCUUGGAGCCCAGCAGGGCCCGGAGCAUGGCGUCAGCCGAGACACGGACUCGACGCAGGGGCGGGCGCUUGAACUUCCCACGGAGGUCCAUCACCUUCAGCUUCAGGUCCUUAAUCUGUAGGCCUAUAAGGAGGAUCAAAGGCUAUAACGAACAUGAAAGCACUUCACAAAGGUAAGACGUUAUUAACAGGCAUAUGAUUAUUUGUGUGGGUGGAUAAAGAGAGCAGCUUCUGUUAGGCUGAUGAGCCCACAUGGCAGGUAGGGAGGAAGUUUGUACUUUUCAUGUGUGAUUAUCCACUCUACCCAUCUCCAGCCCUAUGGGGCUAGGGCAGACAAACCAAAGUUUCCUGCUUAAGUGGCCCCUUCCUAGGCCCUGUGGAAGGAGGGGACCUCCCAUGGCUGCUGCAUCCGUGCCCAUGCCCCUGCCCAACCCAUUAUGGCCAUGCCCCUUCCCUUCCUUAGACUCACCUCCCUGGUGUUGUGGAGGCAUUUGGCCUCAAUGUCGUAUCGCUCCUCAUCCACCACCUCCACCUUGGCGUGCAGCUCCCGGCACAGGUCCUGGGGGCCGCAGAUGGAUCAUGCAGGUGUGAAGAAGAGGGGAACAGAGACAUCAGUUUCCAGCCCUUGACCCUCUCCCCAGCCCCUUUGCAAGACCUGGGAUCCAGAGAGGAGCUGACAGUCUCCUCCACUCUGAGGCUCAUGACGGGCAAUAGCUCAAAGGAUAGCUUUGCACAGGAUCAGCUCUGCAUGGAAUAGGAUGGUCCCCCCAGGACUGGACCAGCUCUCAGAGUGGGUGAGGAAGAGCUUGUGCUCAGCAAGGAUGCAGAGUCACACCCAACCCUGCUGCAAUACCAGUCCUUCCAGUGACAUGGUACACUGGCACAGCAACUCCCUGGACACUAGGAAGCCCCACAUCCAGAAUCUUCACCUGACGUUUCCAUCUCCUGGGAAUUUGUUCAGCCACUAAAUACCCUACACCCCCUGGACUCCCACCAGGCCUUAACACAGGCUCUUCCCUCUCCUCAGAUGCCAACCCCACCUUCCCACUUUUACCAGUCGUUAGAGUUAACCAAGACAGAGAUACCCCAAAUAUCACUUACCUCGCUUCAGGCAUCCAUCACAGGAAGGACGGGGAAAGAGCAGAACACAGAAAUUUGCAACAGAAACCUUAUGUGAGCUACAAAGCUAUCUGGCCCUUUCCAGAUAAAGCUUGCCAAUCCCAGUGGAGAACAGAAUGGAGUCCAUAGGAAAUAUGUUUGGAAAGUGAGAGCAGCUGGGCGCAGUGGCUCAUGCCUGUAAUCCCAGCACUUUGGGAGGCCAAGGCGGGCAGUUCAUGAGGUAAGGAGUUCAAGACCAGCCUGGCCAAUAUGGUCAAACCCCGUCUCUACUAAUGAUACAAAAAUUAGCCAGCAUGGUGGUGCACGCCUAUAGUCCCAGCUACUCAGGAGGCUGAGGCAGAAGAAUUGCUUGAACCCAGGAGGCGGAGGUUACAGUGAGCCGAGAUCGCACCACUGCACUCCAGCCUGGGUAACAGAAUGAGUCUCCUUCUCAAAAAAAAAAAAAAAAAAAUAAGUGAGAGUGUAGCUCACUCAUGAGGGCCUUGAAGGACAGGCUGAGUUUAGACUUUAUCCUGUGGAAUAAGGGUGGUCAUUGAAGGGCUCAGAGAGAGGAAGGCCUAGAAAGUGAAUGAGCAGAGUGGAUGCUGGAAAACGGGUAGCUGCCACAUGGCACAACUCCAUCCACAGAUGGCAAUGCAACUGGCACCUCCAGGGUGGGGCAGUGGGAGGCCUUGAGUGGGAGAGAAUAAGCCGCAAGGCAGGGCAAAUCCCGUGUUCACCCUAGUCUGUCUUUCCCCUCUCUGGGUUGGUUUUCCUCUCUGCAAAAUUAGGGGUUAAAUCAGUGAGUUUCCUCUUGAUGUUUAUUAUUAAUAAUAAGUAAUUAAAAUAAUAUUUAAUUAAUAUUAUUUGGUUGAAUCCUUUGUC
rnacentral:lncRNA from 10 species